rnacentral:lncRNA from 1 species
AUUGAAGAAUGAACCGGUGACUCAUAUGCAGUGUCUUGGUUAAGGCAACCCACCGGAGCUGUAGCAAAAGCGAGUCUUCAUAGGGCAAUUGUCACUGCUUAUGGACCCAAACCGUGGUGAUCUAUCCAUGAACAGGAUGAAGCUUGGGUGAAACUAAGUGGAGGUCCAAACCGACUGAUGUUGAAGAAUCAGCCGAAGAGUUGUGGUUAGGGGUGAAAUGCCACUCGAACCCAGAGCUAGCUUGUUCUCCCCAAAAUGCGUUGUGGCGUAGCAGUUGACUGGACAUCUAGGGGUAAAGCACUAUUUUGGUGCGGGCCACGAGAGCGGUACCAAAUCGAGGCAAACUCUAAAUACUAGGUAUGGCCUUAAAAUUAAAAAAGAGGGGUCAAAGUCGGCUAGUGAGACGAUGGGGGAUAAGCUUCAUCGUCGAGAGGGAAACAGCUCGGAUCACCAGCUAAGGCCGCUAAAUGGCCUCUCAGUGAUAAAGAAGGUAGGGGUGUGGAGACAGCCAGGAGGUUUGCCUAGAAGCAGCCACCCUUAAAAGAGUGCGUAAUAGCUCACUAAUUGAGCGCUCUUGCGCCGAAGAUGAAUGAGGCUAAGUGAUCUGCAUAAUCUAUGGGGUGUAAAAAUAUAUUAGUAGGGGAGCGUUCCGCCUUAGAGGGAAGCCUCUGCACGAGCGGUGAUGGACGAAGCGGAAGCGAGAAUGUCGUCUUGAUUAAAGCAAACAUUGGUGAGAAUCCAAUGCCCCGAAAACCUAAGGGUUCCUCCACAAGGUUUGUCUAUGGAGGGUAAGUCAGGGCCUAAGAUCAGGCCAAAAGGUGUAGUCAAUGGACAACAGGUGAAUAUUCCUGUACUACCCCUUCUUGGUCCCGAGGGACGGAGGAGGCUAGGUUAGCCGAAAGAUGGUUAUCGGUUCAAGAACGUAAGGUGUCCCUACCCUUUUUUCAGGGUAAGAAGGGUUAGAGAAAAUUCCUUGAGCCAAUGAUUAAAUACCAGGUGCUACGACGCUGAAGUAACCCAUGCCAUACUCCCACGAAAAGCUUGAACGACUUUGAGCAAGAGGGUACCUGUACCCAAAACCGGCACAGAUGGGUAGGUAGAGAAUACCUAGGGGCACGAGAUAACUCUCUCUAAAAAACUCGGCAAAAUAGCCCCGUAACUUUAGGAGAAGGGGUGGUGCCUUUUCACAUCAUAAAGGGGGUCACAGUGACCAGGCUUGGGCGACUCUUUACCAAAAACACAAGUCUCCGCAAGGUCAUAAGACCAUGUAUGGGGGCUGACGCCUGCCCAGUGCCGGAAGGUCAAGGAAGUUGGUGACCUGAUGAUAGAGGAGCCAGCGACCGAAGCCUCGGUGAACGGCGGCCAUAACUAUAACGGUCCUAAGGUAGUGAAAUUCCUUGUCGGGUAAGUUCCGACCCAAACGAAAGGUAUAAUGAUCUGGGCACUGUCUUGGAGAGAGGCUCGGUGAAAUAGACAUGUCUGUGAAGAUGUGGACUAUCUGCACCUUGACAGAAAGACCCUAUGAAGCUUCACUGUUCCCUAGCAUUGGCUUUGGGCCUUUCCUGCGCAGCUUAGGUGAAAGCCGAAGAAGGCCUCCUUCCGGGGGGCUCGAGCCAUCAGUGAGAUACCACUCUGGAAGGGCUAGAAUUCUAACCUUGUGUCAGGACCUACGAGCCAAGGGACAGUCUCAGGUAGUCAAUUUCUAUGGGGCGUAGGCCUCCCAAAAGGUAACAGAGGCGUGCAAACGUUUCCUCGGGCCAUACAGAGAUUGGCCCUCGGAUGCAAAGACGUAAGGGAUCUUGACUGCAAGACCCACCCAUCGAGAAGGGACGAAAGUCGACCUUAGUGAUCCCACGGUAUCGAGUGGAAGGGCCGUCGCUUAAUGGAUAAAAGUUACAAUAGGGAUAACAGGCUGAUCUUUCCCAAGAGAUCACAUUGACGGGAAGGUUUAGCACUUCGAUGUCGGCUCUUUGCCACCUGGGGUUGUAGUAUGUUCCAAGGGUUGGGUUGUUCGCCCAUUAAAUCGGUACGUGAGCUGGGUUCAAAAUGUCGUGAGACAGUACGGUCCAUAUCCGGUGUGGGAGUUAGAGCAUUGAGAGGACCUUUCCCUAGUGAGAGAGGACCGGGAAGGACGCACCUCUGGUGUACCAGUUAUCAUGCCCACGGUAAAUGGUGGGUAGCCAAGUGCGGAGCGGAUAACUGCUGAAAGCAUCUAAAUAGUAAGCCCACCAUAAGAUGAGUUCUCUCCUAUUCCCACUUCCCCAGAGCUUCCAGUAGCACAACCAAGACAAGGAUGGGUUCUCGGCCCCUGUGGGGAUGGAGCGACAAAAGUUUUUUUGAGAAUUCAAGAGAAGGUCACGGUGAGACGAGCCGUUUAUCAUUACGAUAGGUGUCAAGUGGAAGUGCAGUGAUGUAUGCAGCUGAGGCAUCCUAACAGAUCGGUAGACUUGAACCUUGUUCCUACAUGACCUGAUCAAUUCGAUCAAGCACUCGCCAUCUA